UAUCUCUGUAGAGUCUGCAUAUCAAUAAGCGGAGGAAAAGAAACUAACAAGGAUUCCCUUAGUAACGGCGAGUGAAGCGGGAAGAGCUCGAAUUUGAAAUCUUCAAGGUUCUACCUUGACGAAUUGUAGUUUAAAGAAGUGUUUUCUGUUAGAUGAGUAGCAAAAGUUCCUUGGAAUGGGACAUCAUAGAGGGUGAGAAUCCCGUAUUUGGUUAUUCAUUCUAGCUUUGUGAUACACUUUCAAAGAGUCGGAUUGUUUGGGAAUGCAGUCCAAAAUGGGUGGUAAAUUUCAUCUAAAGCUAAAUAUUGGCGAGAGACCGAUAGCGAACAAGUACCGUGAGGGAAAGAUGAAAAGAACUUUGAAAAGAGAGUUAAACAGUACGUGAAAUUGUCAAAAGGGAAGCGUUUGACACCAGUGUUGUUUUUCCAAAAAUCAAUUACGAAUGGCUUGAUUUUGUGUUGUAUUGACCUUAUCAGCUUUCUUCACUUUUUUCGAGUCUUUCUUAAUGCACUUUUCGGUUAACAAGUCAACAUCAAUUUCUUUUGUUGUAAAAGAGUAUUCGGAAGGUGGCUUUCUUUUCGGAGAAAGUGUUUAUAGCCCUAUACUUCUACAAUCGGAGAGAUUGAGGUCUGCAGCGUAGAUCCUUCGGGGUUAGAUACAUUUGUGCUAAGUUGUAGCUCUUCAUAGACAACUUGUUGACUAUGUUUAGUCAUGCGGCUUACUCGCUUAUGCUAUUUUACCUACGCUUAGGAUGUUGACUGAUAUGUAGUCGUA
rnacentral:rRNA from 1 species